AGAGUUUGAAUCCUGGCUCAGGAUGAACGCUAGCGGCAGGCCUAACACAUGCAAGUCGAGGGGUAGAANGAGCUUGCUUUUUUGAGACCGGCGCACGGGUGAGUAACGCGUAUGCAACCUACCUUAUACAGGGGAAUAGCCCGAAGAAAUUCGGAUUAAUGCUCCAUGGUUUAUCGAUAUGGCAUCGUAUUGAUAAUAAAGAUUUAUCGGUAUAAGAUGGGCAUGCGUAUCAUUAGCUAGUUGGUGUGGUAACGGCAUACCAAGGCAACGAUGAUUAGGGGUCCUGAGAGGGAGAUCCCCCACACUGGUACUGAGACACGGACCAGACUCCUACGGGAGGCAGCAGUGAGGAAUAUUGGUCAAUGGAGGCAACUCUGAACCAGCCAUGCCGCGUGCAGGAUGACGGUCCUAUGGAUUGUAAACUGCUUUUGUACAGGAAGAAACCUCCCUACGAGUAGGGACUUGACGGUACUGUAAGAAUAAGGAUCGGCUAACUCCGUGCCAGCAGCCGCGGUAAUACGGAGGAUCCGAGCGUUAUCCGGAAUUAUUGGGUUUAAAGGGUUCGUAGGCGGUCAGAUAAGUCAGUGGUGAAAUUUCUUAGCUUAACUAAGACACGGCCAUUGAUACUGUUUGACUUGAAUANUAUGGAAGUAACUAGAAUAUGUAGUGUAGCGGUGAAAUGCUUAGAUAUUACAUGGAAUACCAAUUGCGAAGGCAGGUUACUACGUAUUUAUUGACGCUGAUGAACGAAAGCGUGGGAGCAACAGG
rnacentral:rRNA from 1 species